rnacentral:rRNA from 1 species
CCGGCACGGGUGAGUAACACGUAUGCAAUCCACCUGUAACAGGGGGAUAACCCGGAGAAAUCCGGACUAAUACCCCAUAAUAUGGGCGCUCCGCAUGGAGAGCCCAUUAAAGGGAGCAAUUUUGGUUACAGACGAGCAUGCGCUCCAUUAGCCAGUUGGCGGAGUAACGGCCCACCAAAGCGACGAUGGAUAGGGGUUCUGAGAGGAAGGUCCCCCACAUUGGAACUGAGACACGGUCCAA